UACGUAGGCAGCAAGCGUUGUUCGGAGUUACUGGGCGUAAAGGGUGUGUAGGCGGUUCUUUUAAGUUUGCUGUGAAAUCUCCCGGCUUAACCGGGAGGGUGCGGUGAAUACUGAGGGACUAGAGUACGGGAGAGGAAAGUGGAAUUCCUGGUGUAGCGGUGGAAUGCGUAGAUAUCAGGAGGAACACCGGUGGUGUAGACGGCUUUCUGGACCGUAACUGACGCUGAGACACGAAAGCGUGGGUAGCAAACAGG
rnacentral:rRNA from 1 species